ensembl:lncRNA
AGAUUCUCAAAAUAAAAAUUACAAAUCUAAUCCAGACGAAGAGGCGUGCCAUUUUUCUUCUGCUGCCACUCGGAUCAUUUCCACAAUUUUAGUCAGUGCUCUGUUGGUGGCAGUGGGACUGUAUCACAUUUGCAAAGCUUGCUGUAAGAGAGAGGCCGACACAGUGGAUGCAGGCAGAGCAACAUAUGCUGCUAAGCAGGAACCAGCAGAGCAAUGUCUUCAGCAGGUCCCCGGCAACCCGUAGCAGUGGAUCCCUUCUAUUCUACUAAACAACAGGUUGCAGAGAGAGAGCUGACUGAAGAAAUAAUCACAUCUGAAGGAGAGUGAAAACAAAAAUAUAACUCAGUUUUAUCACAUAUUUUAGUAAUUAACCAAGUUGUACAUUGUCAUCUCAGUUUGGUCUACAUGUCUAUAAAUUGUUAUAGGUUUUCUUUUUUCUGUCAUAUACAGCUAUUUGCCAUUCCUGUGUGGUCAUAAGUAUAUGUAAACCUUCGCUUGAAUACAAGCAAAGGUACCAGCUUGAUAUUUAGAAGUUGAAGUUUAACCAACGUGUUCGAUCAUUCCAUUUUUACACAUGUAUGAAUGCUGUUAAAAUAAAAGUGGUGCUGCAGCUUUUAACAGCACCCACUGUGGUC